CGCGUUCCCUCGUUGAUUGGCUCACUCUUCCUUUCAUCCAUCCAUCCUUUGCGCAAUAAUAUUUGAUGAGAAGUCUGCCAAGGGAGUUCUGUACUCAUUUCCGUUCUUCAGGGCCCCUAAAGACCAGAUCCAUCAUUGCUGGGACAUCUGCAUCACAUGUGAAUGGGUAGGAUUUGGAGUGGUUGGUGAACCCACCACUCUAGAGUCUGAAGCUUACAGGUGUAAAACAAAAAGGAAGGAAGGAAGACUGGUGGAAUAAAUAAACCAAAGGUAAGUGGAGCCCCCUUCGCCAUUCUUAUCCUUUUUCAUAACUGUUAUGUUGUAUCGUUAAAGUGUAGUGUACAUUUUAUCUCCUUACCUAACAUCCAUUGCCCCUUUCUUCUUUCCUAACAGGAACUAAAUUUUGUUCAGACAUCCACUCUUCACCUUCCCAGCCCCUGUUUGCCUGUAACUACAAAGCAGGUGGCUAGAUAACCCCAUCCCCUUUGCCAAGGGUUAGUUUACACUCACUUUAGGUAAUCACAGUCAUUCCUCUUCCAUCUCCAAUGAUUAGAUUAGGAAUAGAUCAUGUCACUCGAUUUAGAACAGUCUUAAAAGGAAGUCUGCUGAGAGAUCUCUAGGAAAGGUUUCCUCUUAAAAGGGAGAAUUCAAGACAGAAAUGGCAAUCAAUGUUAAAAACAUUAGGCUAGGCAGGCCAGGUGCAGUGGCUCACGCCUGUUACCCCAGCACUUUGGGAGGCCGAGGUGGGAGGAUCA